UAUCACUUUUUACUGACAAAGUCACAUCCCAUUUUACUCUAUCAGAUGUAAGCUGUCGAACUCCUCUCUCUUUCACUUUCUCUCUUUCAACUCAAUUCUUAUCAUCUUUUUAUUUUCAUUUCAUACCGACAUUCGCGUGCAACUGCCACCACUGACCACUUCCUCCACCAGUACUCGUCGCCACUCGACACCAUAUUGUUCUGUCUGACGCAGCAGCAGCGCCUCCGGCCACCCUCCACGGACUGCGACUCAGAUAUUGAUUUGAAUCUUCUUCUUCCCUUGAAUUAAGACUCAGAUUGAGAUUUACAAAAAGUGCUUAAAAUGAAAGAUUCACCAAAAACUUUCAACAAUGAAAAAGAAUUGUCAGAAGGGACUCAAACUCCAAGAACUAUAACACAAGUUACCCCAAAUGGUUCUAUACUGUGGAUUCCUCAUUGUGAGUUUGAUAAAAAGCCAUUUGUUGGAAAUAUAUGAGUUGCUUAUGCUCAUGAGGAGGGACACUCAAGUUGUGUCUGAGUUUACAUGGAGAAAAUUAAAUUGUUGUUAGAACAAAAACGUUCACUGUCUUCUCCUCCUGUCCCUCUACCUGAUGUUCCUUCAACCUCAUCUACACCUUUUUCACAAACCCAAAGUUUUUUUUAUGAAUCCUACCGUGCUGAAUACAAUUGAUGAGAUUGUUGACACGGUUAAAUGGGUCACCUCUAUUCCAAGGAUGGUGAAUGAGGGUAUUGUUGUCGACGAGGGUAAUGUACAAGUGAAUGAGGGUGCUGAUUUUGUGGCUGAUGUACUGGGGGAUGUUGUUUUGGAUGAGGUAUUUGAAGAUGAUGUACUUGAUGUUGAAUUGGAUCAAGUUGUUAAUGAUGUGGCAAAUAAUGUCAUUGUUUUUGAAAGCCAUGGUUUUGAGAAUGUAUUGAUACACACAGGGCAAAGUGUUUCAUUCCUUUUAGAGGUGUGAAUGAUAAAUUUACGUAUGUUUUACAUCUAAUGAAAUCAAACAAAAAAUACAUGAGAAGUCUUGGUUCGUUGCUUCAAGAAUCA